CGCAAUGGGCGAAAGCCUGACGGAGCAAUACCGCGUGAGGGAGGAAGGCUCUUGGGUUGUAAACCUCUUUUUUCAGGGAAGAAGAUAUGACGGUACCUGAGGAAUAAGCAUCGGCUAACUCCGUGCCAGCAGCCGCGGUAAUACGGAGGAUGCAAGCGUUAUCCGGAAUGAUUGGGCGUAAAGGGUCCGCAGGUGGUCAGCCAAGUCUGCCGUCAAAUCAGGUUGCUUAACGACCUAAAGGCGGUGGAAACUGGCAGACUAGAGAGCAGUAGGGGUAGCAGGAAUUCCCAGUGUAGCGGUGAAAUGCGUAGAGAUUGGGAAGAAACUCGGUGGCGAAAGCGUGCUACUGGGCUGUAUUUGACACUCAGGGACGAAAGCUA
rnacentral:rRNA from 1 species